UGCAUUCAGUGCAUUUCACCUGUGGUCCGCAGACCCCUGGGGAUCGACAGACUGUGUCGAAGGGGUCUGCGAAAGAUGACUAUGAUCAAUCAAAAAUAUAUGAAUACCCACUU